UGGGUGAUCAUGCAAGGUCAGCUUCAAGGGAUAGUUCACCUUCAGUUGCUGGUCCCCAUAGUGGUUCUUUUUUCAGUACUAUGCAAGUCAAUGGGGACCAGCAACUGAAGGUGAACUAUCCCUUUAAGAAUCAGAUUAAUAUUCAUCACGAGUUAAGCUUUCGUUAGUUGUGAGGAGGGAACUGCCAGUGUAUAGAAACCAGCUGGUGAAACGAAACUGAAAGUGUAGCGAACGCAAUAAGAGGCAGAAAGGAGGGGAACUGCGACACAUAGUUCGGUUUGCUGACUGAAGUGAAGACUAUUCAGGGAGAGCGACUCUCCAAAACAUGUAUCUGUCAUCUCUUUACAAUGCCAAGGAUCAAUUCAGGAAGCCAUAAGCUGUGAGAAGUUAAACAAUGACAAGGAAGAGAAAGAGUGGAGAGAAAGGAAAGGCAGGUGCACAGAAGAAAGGGGCCCAAAAAAGAGAUGGUAGCACAUCUUCAUCCAGAACACGUUCACAGAACCAAACAAAAGGCAAGCAAUCUAGUCACCCAAGCCCGGCCAGAUCCAGAUCAAGAGGCCAUGGACACAACAGCACAGGUGCAGCAGAGCCUGAACCGCUGAGUAAAGAUGCUCAGACUCAAACAAGCUCAAGUACGUUUGAAAACAAGGAGACUCAGACAGAGACUGUCAGUCAAGAAACACAGCAGAAGCAAACAGAGCUCAAUGGCAACACAGAGACCACAGAAGUGUCACGGCCAACAGAACUCAGUCCUGAAGAUGUUAAGACGGAGGUGGAAACUGGACCUGUCAAGGAACAAAGGAAUGAAAGUGAUGGAGAAAAGAAGAAAACAAGAAUGGAGACAAUCAGAAAGACAAAGGAUAGCAGAUAAAAAAAUAGUUACAGAAAGAGAUUCACAAAAAGACACUAAAUUCAAGUCAGAAACACAAGACCAAAAAUCUUAUGCUGCAGCAGCUGCUGCUACAGAAAAGACUGAACUGUCUAAGGAGCAGAAGAAUCAGACAGCAGCAGAUCAGGACAAUAGUAAAAGAAGAAAAUCUUCCCCAGCGAGGGCUCCAAGCAAACAGCCGAUGUCAAUCUAGUCACCCAAGCCCGGCCAGAUCCAGAUCAAGAGGCCAUGGACACAACAGCACAGGUGCAGCAGAGCCUGAACCGCUGAGUAAAGAUGCUCAGACUCAAACAAGCUCAAGUACGUUUGAAAACAAGGAGACUCAGACAGAGACUGUCAGUCAAGAAACACAGCAGAAGCAAACAGAGCUCAAUGGCAACACAGAGACCACAGAAGUGUCACGGCCAACAGAACUCAGUCCUGAAGAUGUUAAGACGGAGGUGGAAACUGGCCUGUCAAGGAACAAAGGAAAUGAAAGUGAUGGAGAAAAGAAUGAAAGUGCUGAGAGGAAGAAAAGAAAAGUGAGUGAAUCAAGAGAAACUACAGAGGAGACAAAAGAAAAGACCAAACUCUACAGAUAG
rnacentral:lncRNA from 1 species